UACGAAGGGGGCUAGCGUUGUUCGGAAUCACUGGGCGUAAAGCGCACGUAGGCGAGUCUUUAAGUCAGGGGUGAAAUCCUGGAGCUCAACUCCAGAACUGCCUUUGAUACUGAAGAUCUUGAGUUCGGGAGAGGUGAGUGGAACUGCGAGUGUAGAGGUGAAAUUCGUAGAUAUUCGCAAGAACACCAGUGGCGAAGGCGGCUCACUGGCCCGAUACUGACGCUGAGGCACGAAAGCGUGGGGAGCAAACAGG
rnacentral:rRNA from 1 species